GGUCUGGUGGUGUAGUUGGUUAUCACGUCAGUCUAACAGUUCGAGUCUUCUCGACUGAGCACACUGAAGGUCUCCGGUUCAAGUCCGGGCUAGAUCA
rnacentral:tRNA from 1 species